AUUGUUUUGGCAGAUUAGUGCAGUAAAUUUAGAAUUUACGAAAGUAGUAGAAUUACAAAUAAUA
rnacentral:tRNA from 1 species